CCUCAGCAGUGCCAUUACUAAGGUUUUGCCAGACCUCCCAGGCUCAAGUCUAGAAAUUCUGGAGGAGACACUGCAAUCGUUGGGGGUGGAGACCACUGAGGAUUUUUCCUUUAUCCAGCAAGCUGAUCUUCUUUCAGUACUAAAAACCAAUUCAAGCCAGAAAUUUGGUGGCUGCCUGGAAACAGACAAGACAGAGCACUGAAUUCUGCAACGAGCCAGUGUUGACCUCUCCAGCUUCCUCAUCACGCUCCUCACUCUCUCCUUCCCCCUCACCCAGUCACUCAAUUACAGUUGCUGAUUGGGUUGACAGCAACUGCAUGAUUGUUCAGUUCUUUGGAUCUUCUUUGAGACAUUGUAUUAAAACUCCUGAGCAGUGGGAGGGAACAACAUGCUGGCUUUUGGGACACCAAGGAAAUGGUCUUAUUACUUCUACCAGUGGUUCUACUUCAUGUGGACCUAAGCAACCUCUGAGCUGCCCCAUCAGUCUACCCUCUGAUCAGUUACCAGUCUUGUCAAGGAUAAACAGUGCGAUGAUGAAAAGACCUACUAAAAAGUUUCCUGAACAUCGUACCAUGUCUGUAUGUGACUGUUCAACCUGCUGUCAAGUCUGGACCCAAUGACUAGGACACCAGUCUUGUAGAGCAGAAAGGAUAGUGCCAGUCUACAGUGAACCCGGAUCCCUGAUGGGACAACAUGUCAAUCAUCAAGCAGAACUGGUGACAACACAUACUUCAAGUUCCAAUGUCUUGGACAUCGUGUGACACUCUAUCCCAUGUUGAGCCCCCUCUUCA